rfam:Triticum aestivum genome assembly, contig: Triticum_aestivum_CS42_TGACv1_scaffold_622501_7DS
UUGAUACUCCCUCCGUCCGGAAAAGUUUGUCCCUCAAAUGGAUAUAUCUAGCACUAACUUAGUGUUAGAUACAUUCAUUUGAAACACAAGUUUGGGACAAGCUUUUUUGGAAGGAGGCAGUAGCAC